GUCCCCGCCAGAAUGCGACUGCGGUGGGUCGAGGGCUUCUCCGGUGUCCGCUUUAACUGUGUCGCCGGCCCCCACCCCCCUCUCCUGGGGGCCUGCAGCUCCGCCUUCUGCAUUCAUCGCUUGGGCUCGGCCCUUAAUUGGCCUCCUCCUCCUCCAGGAAGCGCGCCCGGACUAACUGGACGGGCCGGCGCGCCUUCCCCGGGUUCGGCCCCGGCCCAGCUCCGCGGCUUCAGAUAUCAGGAGCUGAGGCAGAGACAGGUGCCUGGGUCUCCCGACCAGUGCUGCAUGGCUACUGGAAGAAGCAGAUUACUCAUACCUGGAGGAUCGCUGAGAGUUCAAGGCCAUCCUAGGCUACAUAGUGAAACCCUGUCUCAAAAAACCCCUCAAACAACAACAAUGACAAACACGCAAAAAUAAAUCACUCAAACCUGUCUUCCAGAAGUAGAAAGAGUAAAGGUAUGAAAGAAUGUUCAACAUCACUGGUCAUUUGAGAGAUGCAAAUUAAAAAACAAUGCCGAGAUUCCAUCUCACUCCAGAAAGAAUGGCUGUUAUCAAGAAAUCAACCAAUAACAAAUGCUGGCCUGGCUGUGGGGAAAAGGAACCCUUCUCCACUGUUGGUGGGAGUGCAGACUGGUACAACCACUGUGGAAAUUAGUGUGGAGAUUCCUCAAAAACCCCCCAAAACUAGAGGUUCCAUUUGACCCAGCUAUUCCCCUUCUUGUUAUCUUCCUGAAAAAAUUAAAAGCAUCAUACCAUAAUGAUAUAUGCACACCUAUGUUUAUAGCAGCACAAUUUGUAAUAGCUAAAUCUUAGAAACAGCCCAAAUGCCCAUCAACUGAUGAAUGGAUAAAGAAGAUGUGGUUUUUUUCUAUAUAAUGGAGUAUUACUGUGGCAUAAAGAAGGAUGAGUUUGAGACAUUUCUAGGUAAAUGGAUGCACCUCGAGACCAUACUUUUAAAUGAAAUAAAUUGGACACACAUGUUUAAAUACUGCACUGUUUCUCUAGUGUGAGAAACUGAAAGUAGAAAUAAAGUCUAAAAUGUAUAAUAGAUAUUGGAAAAUAGGAAGAAAAUGUUCAAAUGAGAAAGGGAACAAGGGAAAAGGGAAGGAAGGAAGGGACAAGAAAAAAGAGAAAAUAGAAGGAAAAACUGGAAACAAAGCUUUUUUUUUUUUGGUACUGUGGAUCAGACUCAGGACCUUGUGCUUGAGAGGAAGGCGGCAGCACCACUGAGCUAAAUCCCCAGCCCACAAAGCUUUUGUAAAUAAGGAAGAAAAGGGGUUGAAGGGAGGGGCAAAUGGGAAAAAAAGAAGCAAGAUGUAUCAUGUACACGUACAUAUUCCCUAUGAUGAAUGUUAUUAUGUAUAUCUAAAAUGUACCAAUAAAUGUUUUGCUUAAAAAAAAAACCCUGUCUUCCAUCCCUACCAUGUUGUGGAAACUACUCUCCAGGCC
rnacentral:lncRNA from 1 species